UUUCUUGUUAUUCUGUUCAUUUUUGUCUUUGUGAAAGAGCAGCCCUUACUUCUGGGGAAAGAAAGGGUCAGUUUUCCUUUUUCAUCUCAGAUCUGGCAGCUCACACAAUCUCGAAAUGUCACCACAUGUUCUGAAUUGUGGGACUUUGAAAUUAUUGUGGCUUGUAUGUAGUCAGUGUUCAAAAUAAGUGUUUAAAUCACAGCAAUACUAAAUAGAACACACAAAUCCCAGCUGCAUGGGCCGGAUUAAGCAUAAGAAAGCAAUCAAUGCUUGUGGCUUCUAUAUUCCCACAAUUCUAUUUAUAUUUCCAGAAAAGGAACUAACAUCUCUUAACAUGCUAAUACAAUGCCGCAGUACCUAAAUACAAAGCAUUUAAUGAGGAAAAGUAAACAACUGUACAACCUAUUCUACACUGCAGACACCUUGCCACAGUCUGAAUUUCAAAUAGUCCAGAGUUUUUAUAGUCCAGCCCAUUUCUUUUAUUGGGGGUUUUAUUUCUAGUAGUGUAGGGGAAAGCAAUAUUUUCAUGAAGCCUUGGAGUUCUUGUGGCUUAGUUCUGUGUUACUGCAGCAGGUAUUUCAAAUACAAUUCUAGUACCCACCUCCACACAGGACCAAUUGUGGAGGUUAUAUUUUAAAAAAUCACAAAAGUAACAUUUAAAAAUUCAAAAUAUCUAUUUUGAGGAUUCAGAAGUUCUAUUUUAAAGGCAUUUUGAUCAAUUUACCUACACGCUCUAUCAAAAUAUUAAUAAGGCCUAAAUCCUAUCAUUAAUACCUCAUCUCAAAAUGAUUGUGAAAAUAAGGACUAAUUCUGUCUUAUCUCACUCUUCACCUGAGAAGGAGUUCUCCAUCUUUUCGAAACAUGGGAUCAAACUUGACCAGGUGCAAGUAUGCAUUGCUCUCAGUAGAACCCAAAGCAUGGACCUGACUUCUGCAGAUUGUCUGCUCUGAGACCGAGGAAACCUCAGUGCACGGACACAAAGUAUUGUCAGCUGAGAGCUCAUUUGCAGGAUUGUCUCUCCUUUUUAACUCUGCUCUAUUCUAUCACUGAAAUAAGGACAACAGGGUCUAUUUUUGGGUUUAAAUGUAAUUUAUUAUGUAAUUGUUGCUCAGUAAAUGAGUUUACGUGGGAUACAAUAAUACAGAAUUUCAACUGUACUUUAAAGGCUGUCUUGCAAAUCACUGUCAUGUUUCUACUCGUUUAGGAUCAGUGCUGUCAAAUAUUAACAAUAUACAGGAAAUAUGUCCUCCUUUUUCAGGAAAUGCUUGUAUCAUUGAGUCAGUAAAACUGUUUCAGCUUAAGAGAAUCAGAUUUAAAUACCACUUAGAGACAUGCCUAACAUUUAUAAAAACAAUAAAUAUUAGUGGUAUAUUAAGUGUUUGCUUAAA
rnacentral:lncRNA from 1 species